rnacentral:misc_RNA from 1 species
AGAGGCACAUACACACCCACCCACACGCACGCACAGACACGCUCACAAAACUGCAUAGGAGAGGACAGUGGCAUCAUCGUUGGUGUGCGUGUGCUGUCCUGUGCUACGUAGGCGGCUGUCACUCUCUACCUCUCUCUCCUUGGUCGAUCGAUGGAGCCGCACAUGACGUCUCUCGUGUUGCGCCGCGACCUCUCCCUGGAGGUACCGAAGCUGUUGAUUGGCGCGGUGCAGCCGUACCAGACACUCGCCGGCCCCGCGCUCACCACGUCCUUCCUGCAUCAGCCAGACCUCCUUCCGUUCCAGCGGACCGCCUUCUCGCACGCUGCCAUCGCACCGCUGUACUUCCACACGCUGCUGCACACCCUCGCUGAGUUUGCCGAGACGCCGCGCGCGGUCCAGUAUAGUGCAGUGAAGCUGCGCCACGCCCCCAAGGCCGACUUCUGGGACUCCGUCGGCACGCUGAACUGUUUCUACUACUCUGCCCAUGCACCUUAUGGGGCACCGGCAGAGGCCUCCGUUUUGGACCAGCAUCCGGCUAUGGGGGCCGUGGAGCUCAUGCGCCCGGGGCACCGCAUGGAGAGCGACGUUAAGCUGACGCUCUUCAACAACUCCCACCAGCCCAUCGCGUCGAUGCUGAUGACCGGCCCGAAGGGCGCAACGCGCGAGGCUGACGACAACGCGAUAGAGAGUAGUCAGGACACCUCCUCCACUUCCCCUCACGCGAGGACUGCCUUUCCGUAUGUGGCGCCGCCCACCAAGGAGACCGCGUCCGCUAGCGACUGCCUCUCUGCCGUCAUGAUCGGCGGCACACGAGUACACGGCGGCCUGUACGGUGAUCUGAUGCCUAUGGAGGGCGGUGGCGGCUUUGGACAGCGUGCCUGUUACCGGGUAGAAGAUGCCGCCGCGUCCUCGCCGUCCCCGAAUGACCGAAGCCGGGUCAGCGGGACGGAGGCAGCGGCUGAAGAACGUACCGCCUCUUCGUCGGCGCCCACCGUCAUGCCGCCGUGGGUGCUCUACGACUGCGUUCAGCGAUUUUUUCUCCGGCUGCAUCGCAGCGGCGUCUUCGGCGGUGAUGCAGCCAUUGCACCGACGGAGGGGUGGCGUGUCUCGGCUCACCACGUCGUACAAACCGAGGAUGCGGUCUUUGGCGUUCCGGUGGAGGUGGUCUGCGCCGUGCCGCGUGUGUACCCGAGCUACAGAUUGCCGCCAUGGAGGCAUCGGCUGGGACUUCCCGCCAUUCCCAACGGCGCCGCACCAUGUGUGAGUCUGCGCUGUGAGACGCGGCAAGGUGGCCGGCUUAUUUCCACUGGUGUUUACUUCUUUACUCGGUUGUAACGAGGACGCGGAUUCAUGGAUCGUGUGGGGGCCUGGGCUGCCGUCGAGGUGGUGUCGUAUGGCCACUCUGCUUCCUCCCUCGAUGCUCUCGCCUCUGCCGCUGCCGAAGUCGCCAGCACCUGCUUCACGCCUCUUUGUUUGGAUUUCGUCUUUACAGUCUGCACUGCGCUCUCUUGCGCUUGGCGUUACAUGCGCGCAUGUGUGGGGGUGUACACGCACACGACGGAGCACAACGUUCGUAUUCGAGUUGUUGAAUGACCCAAACGGCAACUCGGGGCACCUCCGCGAUUGAGCAGACGUUACUUUCUUCAGGCACCUAAGCAUCUCACGCUUGCCGCUUCUCGUUACUUUCAUCAGCCUCUUUCCACUGACGGGGCAGGAUAUGUGUUGUCGUGUACGUCGCCGCACAUGUUUGUGCGGCGAGUAACCUCAUCCGCGUCCUUACGCAAGCACAGGACUCUUCUCUGUCGGAAUGCCGCUCACCGUCUCUUUCUCUCGCCGCCAGCGGUGCCAGUGAGCGACUGGGAGGGGUCGAGCACGACGACGUCUUCGCUGGGCCUCAUACUCCCACUCGACGUCCGCUGCCUCACAUUGUUCUCCCCACGUCUGCGCCUCUCCCCGGUGACGGGGGGUACACCUCGGCGCGAUAUCGCGCGGUCCAGUACCCACGCUCUGUGUGUGGGGAGUCGCGAAGCAGCCCCGCAUCCCCUGCCGAAUGCCGAACCGCUCCUGGUGGUGACAGGGCCAAGCACCUACGACGUGGAGAGGUGAGCGCGGCUUACUGCCACUGAUGUCGGCGGCGGGGUCCUGGGUGGCGCUGCCUCGGAGCGACCUGCGGCUGUGAGUAGGUCUUUAUCACCCAUAUGGUGGGCAGGGCGUCCACGUGACCCGCGCGUAUCCGACCGGGCCCUCACACGGCGCACUGGUGUGUGUGGGUGUGGGGGCCGAGCCCCCCGAGGGGCGGGAACGCACCAGGCGAUGGGGCGUGUGGCCGGCCGGUGGGCAGAGCGGCGCCGGCCUCGUGCACCCUGGCGGAGAAUGGCCGCGCGGAAGAGAGAGCUCGCACGUACGCCUCUUCCGCUGCGCUCCCUGGCGUUCCUCUCUGUGCCCCAUUUCCCUCGACCCUUUCCCAUCUGCUCUCACGGACUCUCUCCCACGGCAUGCACACGAGCACGCCCACAG